rfam:Schistosoma mansoni strain Puerto Rico chromosome W, complete genome
ACCCAGCUGACGAGUCCCAAAUAGGACGAAACGCGUGUCCUGGAU